rnacentral:rRNA from 1 species
GUAGGUGGCAAGCGUUGUCCGGAAUUAUUGGGCGUAAGGCGCGCGCAGGCGGUUCUUUAAGUCUGAUGUGAAAGCCCACGGCUCAACCGUGGAGGGUCAUUGGAAACUGGAGAACUUGAGUACAGAAGAGGAAAGCGGAAUUCCACGUGUAGCGGUGAAAUGCGUAGAGAUGUGGGGGAACACCAGUGGCGAAGGCGGCUUUCUGGUCUGUAACUGACGCUGAGGCGCGAAAGCGUGGGGAGCAAACAGGGAUUAGAUACCCUGGUAGUCCACGCCGUAAACGAUGAGUGCUAAGUGUUAGGGGGUUUCCGCCCCCUUAGUGCUGCAGCUAACGCAUUAAGCACUCCGCCUGGGGAGUACGGCCGCAAGGCUG